AAAAAAGCGGCGCGGGGGCUCCCCCCCCCCGCGGCGGCGCGGGGCGGGGCGGGGCGGGGCGCGGCGGCGUGUGGGCCGAGUGGCGAGCGCGCUCCCCGCCGGCCGCUCGCCCCGCUGGCGGGAGAGUGAACUUUGACACGACUGCUGCAACUUAGCGCACGUUGCCAUGGCGACCGAGAGCCUUAUAAGGCAACCCGACCGGCGUUUGACUGGUCAAAAGCUCGCGCCCCGCCCCUCGGCCCUCAUUGGACCGCGACCGCCCUGCGCGGUCCUGCUAUGGCCGCCGCCGACGCCCGCGCGGUCCUAGAGGCGGCCGCCGCCGGUGCCGCUGCCGCCGCCGGUACCGGGGAGUCCGUCCGUGUCCCCCCCCCCCCCCCCUCCGCGCUCUUUACCCCGAGCCACGCUCCCCCGAGCCGCACGGCCCCCGCCCGCAGUCGGGGCGAGGGGUUAGGGUCAGACCGGCGAGGGGAACGGAGCGCCGCCGCUUCACCUGGGGCCACCCGCCGGGGCACGGCCUCGGGGGUGGGAGGUGGGGGGGGUCUGAGAGGGGGGUGAGGGGGGGGACACGACCCGGCGCGUGAAAAUCAGCAAAUUGACGCUAAAAUGAGGUAAAACUCCACGGAGUAAAAUAAACCCGACCCCCGCCGCCGCCGGGGGGAGGGGAGCGGCCCCUCGGUGCCCCGUCGGGGCAGGGCGGCGCAGGUACGCGCGGUUCCCCCCCCGCCGGGGGUCCCGCCGGCGGCGGCCUUGCCCUCGGCCCCCUCGGCCUCGCCCCGGGGUGACCGGCGGGGGACGAGGCGUGGGGGGGGGGGGGGGGCAGCCCCGGCCGCCCGCGGGGCGCUGAGGGUCCCCCGGCGGGGUCGGGGGGCACCGCCGCCCCUCUGACCUGGGCUCCCCCGGUCCGGGCGCCGCUCCCCCCGCCAAGGGGUCCGCGGUGUCACCAUCUCCCCCUUCCCCUCCGUGGAGGACAAACCCGCCCCGCAGAGCGCGACACUCGUGUCCCGUCUCUCGCAACUUCCACGACAUCGCUCCAAGGCGGCUCGUCUCAAGCCCUUUAACUUUAUUUUGGGGGGUUUGGCAGGGGUCUUUUAUUUCUUUUCUCUGUGGGUCGCACGUACCCUGACCCGGGUCCGCGCCGUCCGUGGGGUGGCGGGAGCACCACGCCACGGGUGACCUCUCUGAGGAUGCGGGGACGGCUCUUUAUUCCCCGUUGAACAGAGCUACCGGGCAGCGGAACGGGGACUUUGGGUUCACCUCCCGGUGAAAAUGGCCAAAAGCCACUCGAACAGGCGAAGGGACGCAGAGAGUAAAAAAAGCAAACACAUUCAAACAGACCGAUAAAUGCCCGGCCGGACCGUUCCUCCUCUGCGAACACACGCGUGUCCGUACGCUCGCGCUUGAGCCGGUCACCAAGCGCGGCCGUGGGGCUGCACAGCCCUGUGCCCACCUCCGCAAGGCAUUAAUUGCCCCUCACCUCCUCACACGCACUUUUUCAUGUUGCCACAUGCACAACACCCUUCUGCCGCAGAAAUAAUAUAUGUGGCCAAAGCCGCAGGUGCUGAGAUGAUUGGAAAGUUGUAAAAAGCACCUCGACUUGACCAUGUCCCGCUUAGAAACCUGGCGCGUUAAGGACCCCCACGAAGGAAGAUGUUCUGCGGCUCGAUUUCAAAGACAAGGCUGCAGCAUCCCCAUUGAUCCUGGCGGAGCAAAAAUAAGCGUUCUCCGAAACAGGGACCAGGAGGGACUGGGACGACAGAAGAGGGGGGAAAGGAACCUUUCCCCGUUAAAAUGUGGGGAGCUGCUUGAUGAUUUCCAAAGAACCCAGAGCCGAGGAGGUCACCUUUCGGCGUGGGUGGGAGAAGGUGGGGGUUCAAGAUGCGGAAUAGUCACAGAUUGUUGCUGAUGUUGAAUUUCCUGAGGAAAAAAGAAAAAAAAAAAAAACCCACAAACAAACCCCAACCAACCCAACACCAACCUCUCCUGUCUCGAAUCUGACAAAGUAAACAGGAUUAAUUCGCCAUAUGAAAAAACAUUAUUGCCGCCUUCACAAAUGCAGAAAUCAGAAGGGAAAGCGGUUUUAACAGGACGGACAAUAUUAAUAGUUUGAACGUAUGAUCGUAAAAAUGAAAAGCCAUUGAUAUACGCUUAAAAGCCGCCGUAUACGCUGAUUGCUCAAGCAUUAAUGAAGAAUGCCCCAGAUUAACUAUUUGCUCUUCGAGGGAUGCAGCAAUAUAACUAUCUAUUAGCACCAUUAGAUGCUUUGCUAUUUAUUUGAAAACACCUCUACGAGUGGGUUGAGGCAGAGCAGAUGAAUGUAAAAAUGAACUGCAGCUAAUUUCGCUAAAUAAUACUCGAAACCUGAGCGCUUCGCAAAGAAGGGGGAGAUUCUCAACUGUCCUUCUCCGAGCCUAAUGACAAUAGAAAUGCUCUGUUUUAAAAGUAGGACCGUAUUGGUUUUCCAAAUAAACAAAUGCAUCCCUCCUGCCAUUUUACCGCAGAUGUAAAUUUAUUUUAAUGAGAGGGAGUGGAAGGAUUUAUUUUGCUAAAAUAGAGUUGAGGAUAGAGCCGGUGUAAAUCUUUAGGUUUUAAAAAAAGAGGAGGAAGGAGGGGGAAGCUGCUCUCCUGGCAGAAAGCUGCCUAACAGCCCUCUAAUUCUUUCUAGAUUAAAUCGCAAUAUGAAUACAGCAUCGAACAAAUACCGAGUUUCGCUCUGAACUCAGUGGAAAGCAGUUACGUCUAACAGAAUUCAAUGAAUUCCUCUUCUCCCUCAAUGUAGUAUGUGUGUGUUUUUCUCUUCCACCACACUGAAGUUCCAUGAAUAGGGAAAGUGGCUCCUAUUGUGUGCCUCUGAACUUCCAAGUCAAUGCAAUUUUUAACCACUGGCUUGUGGUACUUUGAAAAUCACCAGGGGCUGUCAGAGUUGGGUCCUCUGAAAAAUUUACAGUGCUAAAUCAGAGCAUAUGCUGUGAGAGAGGAAAAAAAAUUGCUUAAGAUUGGAGCAAGUACAGUAUCUGGCUGCCCCCUAGUGUAAGUCUCUUAUCUGCCUAAAAUUCAACUUUAAAAGAAAAGGAUCUCUUAAAGGGAAACGACUUUUGGCUCACGUAUGCCUACGAGAAUGAAACUUCUGUACAUUUUAAUCUGAUUAAUUCCUAAGGAUUUAAAAUUAAUUGGCUUGGGCACUGCUAGACUGGACUAUAAGGUUUCUGCAUCAGGGUUCCUGCGAGCGCCGUACCGAAUAGGUAUUUUUAAGGGAUAGUGGUAAGGGAUUGGGGAGGGGGGGGGGGGAUCCUGUUUUGUGAUAUUUUUUUUUUUCCUAACGAGGAACCGUGCCCCGCAUGCUGCUGUCAGAGCAAAACACUUUUGCUGCUUAAAGUCAGAUCUACGCCUUUUGCAAUAAUACUUAAAAAAAAAAAAAAAAGAAGGAUAAAUAAUUGCCUUAGAGCCUCAGCCGAACUGCCAACCACACCUUCGGAUGUCAGAAGGCAGAAAUAUGUGCACUGCUGAGAGAGGUGGGUACUUUUUGGUAAGUAUGUUUAGAUAUGAUCUUCAGAUACAUUUAUUGUACUUUCAAAUUCUUUGGAUACUAGUUGAGCUAGCAAACAGUAUCCCAGCUGAAUGUCUCAGCUCCUUCCCUACUUAGCAAGCUCUUCAUAUAGAACUAUAUUGCAGCCAUCCUUCUGCUAAACAACAUAGCUGAGGAAUCAGCAAAAAAUAAAAUAAAAUGUUAAAACCGGAUUAUAAUUGCUGCCUUAUAUCUGACUCCUCUUCCUUCCCGCAGUCCUAAUGAACCCUUUAAAGUUUUUUUUUUAUUAUUUCUGAGUGACAGAUCAAAAAUAAUUAGCAGAAUCAGAAGCAGCUGGAAAGCUUGAAAUAAUGUAUCUAAAUAUUUUAUAUUGCUACUUCUAAUACUAGCCCCCCCAGUUGUAAAAAGGAACAAUUCCCUAUUUAUUCUGCGGUAGUUUAUGAAUACAGAAAGAUAGAUCCCUUUUUUUUCCCAGGGCCUGCCUCAGAGAUGACAUAAAUAGGGACUGAACUAUCAGGAAUAAAAAAAAAAUAAAAAAGAAAAAAAACCACCAAAAGCCUGGAUAGGAAUAGAGACAGUCAGACAGAUACAUAACUGCAUCUGAACAAUGUUAUGUACCACAUUAGGGAAUGGUAAAAAAAAAAUAGAUUGCAUAUUUAUAACCUCAUAAUUAAAAUACAUUCUUAUCUCUCUCCUCUGAAAGGUUGCAGCUUUCUUGGAAAUAUUUUGAGUGCAUAUUUUAAACUCCGUGUCCCGAAUUGAAUUAAGAUGAGCUGUUUUACCCAAGAGUAAAAUACUUGUUUGCAAUUUAAGGUUGAAGUUUCAACUGCCUGUCGUCAUAUAAUUUUCUUUAUAUUUUGCCUCCGUAUGUUUGGAGGCUUUAUUUAAAAUGGUGUUAAUUUAUAUUAAAUUCUAAUUCCUGUUUGUAAGAAAUUAGUUAAUAUUAUCCAAAAUAAUCCCCUGUGUUCGACUGAGGUAGAUCAGAUGGGAAUUUUUCACAUUCAAAGGGCUGAAGCUAAACUGAAAACUUUAAAGCAAAGGGAUACCAGCAAACAGUGAAAAAUGGCACGUCUGCUCUCUCUUGACAAGCUUGCAUUAAAUCACAUGUAAGGAAGCACAAAUUUUUGAAUCUAAGACCAGUUUUAGUUUUUAAUAGGAAAUAAUUACAUGGAACUUUAUUUCCAGAGAGAAUAUCCCUUCCAGCUACAGUGUUUUGCUUUGAUCUGAGUAUUAACUGGUAAUAAAAUAACCAUAUUUUGGAUCCUAAGCAUAUUGAUGCUUAAAGGAAUGUUAUGCUUUCAAUCAAAUUCUAACUUUAGAUUAUCCAAAGGUAUUCAUCCUUCUUUUGUCAGAAACCAAUUUGCUUUUUUACUCCUGCAGCUACUCACAUGUGUUUUAGUAUACUUUGUUAUUUUACAGUAGAAUUUGCACUAUCGAGGUGGAACACUUUUAGAUGGAGUGAGAUCUUGUUCCAGCC